UACGAAGGGGGCUAGCGUUGCUCGGAAUUACUGGGCGUAAAGGGCGCGUAGGCGGAUAUUUAAAUUGGGGGUGAAAUCCCGGGGCUCAACCUCGGAAUUGCCUUCAAAACUGGAUAUCUUGAGUUCGGGAGAGGUGAGUGGAACUCCGAGUGUAGAGGUGAAAUUCGUAGAUAUUCGGAAGAACACCAGUGGCGAAGGCGACUCACUGGCCCGAUACUGACGCUGAGGCGCGAAAGCGUGGGGAGCAAACAGG
rnacentral:rRNA from 1 species